rnacentral:ncRNA from 2 species
AACUUAUCAAGAGAGACUGAGGGACUGGCCCGAUGACGUCCGGCAACCUGCUUUUUGCAAGGUGCUACUUCCAGCAAAAUGGAGUCCAUUUUGGAAGAUAAGGG